CGACCGGAUCGGGCGAUCGCGUGAUAUGUCGCCGAAAGGUAUUAUCAUGAGGAAAGUCCGGGCUUCACAGGGCAGGAUAACGGAUAACGUCCGCCGAGGGUGACCUCCGGGAAAGUGCAACAGAAAGAAACCGCCUGCGGUCCGGCUCUGCCGGAACGCAUGGUAAGGAUGGAAAGGCGAGGUAAGAGCUCACCCGAGCUUAUGGUAACAUAGGCUCGCUGUAAACACUAUCCGAAGCAACACCGUAUGCGGGAUCCGGCUUAUCACCGGCUGCCGGCCCGGCAGAUCCCGCGGGUGGCAUGCGCUUUGCGCGGAGCGUGUCGGAGACGAUACGCGAAGAUAGAUGAUCGCCGAUUACAGAACCCGGCUUACAGAUCCGAUCGCAUU
rnacentral:RNase_P_RNA from 1 species